rnacentral:rRNA from 1 species
UGGGGGAUAUUGCGGCAAUGGGGGGAAACCCGUGACGCAGCAACGCCGCGUGAAGGAUGAAGGUCUUCGGAUUGUAAACUUCUUUUAUUAAGGACGAAGAAUGACGGUACUUAAUGAAUAAGCUCCGGCUAACUACGUGCCAGCAGCCGCGGUAAUACGUAGGGGGCAAGCGUUAUCCGGAUUUACUGGGUGUAAAGGGAGCGCAGGCGGUUCUGCAAGUCUGAUGUGAAAGCCCGGGGCUCAACCCCGGGACUGCAUUGGAAACUGUGGGACUUGAGUGUCGGAGGGGCAAGUGGAAUUCCUAGUGUAGCGGUGAAAUGCGUAGAUAUUAGGAGGACACCAGUGGCGAAGGCGGCUUGCUGGACGACAACUGACGCUGAGGCUCGAAAGCGUGGGGAGCAAACAGGAUUAGAUACCCUGGUAGU